CAAUGAGAAAUUAUUGCUAAUUCCGCAUGUGGUUAAUUUGAGGCAUCUUAGAUUAACUAAAGAUUUAUCGGUUAGAGCUGGGCAUGCGUCCCAUUAGCUAGUUGGUGAGGUAACGGCUCACCAAGGCAUCGAUGGGUAGGGGCUCUGAGAGGAUUGUCCCCCACACUGGUACUGAGACACGGACCAGACUCCUACGGGAGGCAGCAGUAAGGAAUAUUGGGCAAUGGACGCAAGUCUGACCCAGCCAUGCCGCGUGAAGGAAGACGGCCCUAUGGGUUGUAAACUUCUUUUCUCAGGGGGUAAACUUUGGAACGUGUUCCGGACUGAAAGUACCUGAGGAAUAAGCAUCGGCUAACUCCGUGCCAGCAGCCGCGGUAAUACGGAGGAUGCGAGCGUUAUCCGGAUUCAUUGGGUUUAAAGGGUGCGCAGGCGGAUAUAUAAGUCGGAGGUGAAAUUCUGAUGCUCAACAUCAGCCGUGCCUUCGAUACUGUAUAUCUAGAGUCAAGUUGGAGUAGGCGGAAUGUGUUGUGUAGCGGUGAAAUGCUUAGAUAUAACACAGAACACCGAUCGCGAAGGCAGCUUACUAAACUUUGACUGACGCUCAUGCACGAAAGCGUGGGGAUCAAACAGGAUUAGAUACCCUGGUAGUCCACGCUGUAAACGAUGAUUACUCGCUGUUGGCGAUACACAGUCAGUGGCUAAGCGAAAGUGAUAAGUAAUCCACCUGGGGAGUACGACGGCAACGUUGAAACUCAAAGGAAUUGACGGGGGCCCGCACAAGCGGAGGAGCAUGUGGUUUAAUUCGAUGAUACGCGAGGAACCUUACCAGGGCUAGAACGCAAGUUGAUUAUGUGCGAAAGUAUAUAUCUCUUCGGAGCAAUUUGCGAGGUGCUGCAUGGUUGUCGUCAGCUCGUGCCGUGAGGUGUCAGGUUAAGUCCUAUAACGAGCGCAACCCCUACUCUUAGUUGCCAGCAUGUAAUGAUGGGGACUCUAAGAGAACUGCCUACGCAAGUAGAGAGGAAGGUGGGGAUGACGUCAAAUCAGCACGGCCCUUAUGUCCUGGGCUACACACGUGCUACAAUGGUCGGUACAGAGGGCAGCUACCUGGUGACAGGAUGCUAAUCUCAAAAGCCGGUCUCAGUUCGGAUCGGAGUCUGCAACUCGACUCCGUGAAGUUGGAUUCGCUAGUAAUCGCG
rnacentral:rRNA from 1 species